UACGAAGGGGGCUAGCGUUGCUCGGAAUGACUGGGCGUAAAGGGCGCGUAGGCGGUUCGUACAGUCAGACGUGAAAUUCCCGGGCUCAACCUGGGGGCUGCGUUUGAUACGUGCGGGCUUGAGUUCGGAAGAGGGUCGUGGAAUUCCCAGUGUAGAGGUGAAAUUCGUAGAUAUUGGGAAGAACACCGGUGGCGAAGGCGGCGACCUGGUCCGAUACUGACGCUGAAAUACGAAAGCGUGGGGAGCAAACAGG
rnacentral:rRNA from 1 species